UCUCCAGACUCCUACGGGAGGCAGCAGUGGGGAAUAUUGCACAAUGGGGGAAACCCUGAUGCAGCGACGCCGCGUGAGUGAAGAAGUAUUUCGGUAUGUAAAGCUCUAUCAGCAGGGAAGAAAAUGACGGUACCUGACUAAGAAGCCCCGGCUAACUACGUGCCAGCAGCCGCGGUAAUACGUAGGGGGCAAGCGUUAUCCGGAUUUACUGGGUGUAAAGGGAGCGUAGACGGCAGCGCAAGUCUGAAGUGAAAUCCCAGGGCUUAACCAUGGAACUGCUUUGGAAACUGUGCAGCUGGAGUGCAGGAGAGGUAAGCGGAAUUCCUAGUGUAGCGGUGAAAUGCGUAGAUAUUAGGAGGAACACCAGUGGCGAAGGCGGCUUACUGGACUGUAACUGACGUUGAGGCUCGAAAGCGUGGGGAGCAAACAGGAUUAGAUCCCCCUGUA
rnacentral:rRNA from 1 species